AUAGACUUAGUCCUAACCUUGCAGUUAGUUAUUGUCAAAUAUAUACAUGCAAGUAUCCGCACGCCAGUGUAAAUGCCCAUACCUCCUCCACAUCAAACAGGAGGAAGGAGCAGGCAUCAGGCACACUAUAAUGUAGCCCAAAACGCCUUGCUCAGCCACACCCCCACGGGUAUUCAGCAGUAAUUAACAUUAAGCUAUGAGUGUAAACUCGACUUAGCUAUGACAACCAACCACACUAGGGCUGGUAAAUCUUGUGCCAGCUACCGCGGUCAUACAAGAAGCCCAAAUUAACUGCCACCGGCGUAAAGAGUGGUAUUACACUAUUAUCCAACUAAGAUCGAAAUACAACUAAGCUGUCAUAAGCCCAUGAUGUACCUAAGACCAACCUCAAGACGAUCUUAGUAUUAUGAUCGACAGACACCACGAAAGCCAAGACACAAACUGGGAUUAGAUACCCCACUAUGCUUGGCCCUAAAUCCAGAUACUCUGCCCUACUAAAGUAUCCGCCCGAGAACUACGAGCACAAACGCUUAAAACUCUAAGGACUUGGCGGUGCUCCAAAACCACCUAGAGGAGCCUGUUCUGUAAUCGAUAAUCCACGAUAUACCCAACCCCUUCUAGCCCUAAGCAGCCUACAUACCGCCGUCCCCAGCCCACCUCCCUGAGAGCAACAACAGUGAGCACAACAACACCCCGCUAAUAAGACAGGUCAAGGUAUAGCCCAUGAAGGGGAAGAAAUGGGCUACAUUUUCUAAAAUAGAAAAUCCACGAAAAGGGAUCUGAAAAGAUCCCUAGAAGGAGGAUUUAGAAGUAAAGGGAGGCAAGAAUACCCCCUUAAACUCGGCCCUGGAGCACGUACAUACCGCCCGUCACCCUCCUCAAAGCCACUAAGUACCAGUAAAUAAUAAAUAUAUCAGGCUUAAGAUGAGGUAAGUCGUAACAAGGUAAGUGUACCGGAAGGUGUACUUAGCAU
rnacentral:ncRNA from 1 species